CACGUUGUCUCGAGAUACAGAGCUCAAGUCGGAUCGGUCGCGCUCGCAAACGUCGCGCGUUUCUUCGGAGCAGUCAAUCGAUCGGAAGCGAAUAUGACAGUUGACGAUCGUCGUUUGAAGAUGAAUUUCGACAGCGUGACUACAACACCAAAACGGGAGUCAAACGAUUCGACGAGAGCACCGCUUGUUCGAAUCUGACGCUUGACCGUAUCGCGAGAGAAUUGCCGGACCGUAUGAAUGAUACACCGUCGCUGCUGCUCACGUUGAAAUACAACAUUCGAGAUUGUAGCUUUGUACUUUCUCUUGAACAAUCUCAGUUUUAUCAACAUGUAGUCAAAUAUUCCAAACAUUUUUUUGUUCGACAAAGCUUCUCACGCGGAUAACAGUUAUUUGUUACCGAACGCCUUGAUCUCUCGAGCGUUGAAGAAAUCGCGAUUGAUCAUCGUGCAUCGCAACAACGACGCAACGGGUGUAGCAGCGGCUCAACUGCACGCCGAAGACGUGUCGUUCGUUAACGAGGUUGCUUGUAUGCGAGUUGCAAAGGACACACUGUUCGUCGGUGGGUUGAACGACGCGACCUCUGGACAUUAUCGAUACUUCAUGGCGGUUAAUUUCGCAUCUUUCUAUCUUCCGUCGAUAGAUCGCGAAUACAAAUUGUUUAUGGAAACGUUCGCAUGUGUGAUGACCGUUGCAUAAUUGAAACGCACGUUUCUAGAUCGAAACUAUUUCCAAGAGGCUAUGAACUUUGAGGUAACAAAUAUUUUCUGUUCUCAUCUCUACAAUAUUUGUCGAUACUGAUGUACGACUCAACCGACAAAUUUGAAACAGCAAAACAGAGUCAAAGGCAGAGUAAAAGACAUAAAGCCGAGAGACGAGGAGAAGGUCCGAAUCCGCCGAUAACAUUCGAUCUUUCGAGUGAUUGACGAAAACGCGGAUGCGAUUUUGCGAGGUUACGACGAUGUGUCUCGACGCGUAUUGAGCGACCUCAAAUAGCACGAGAGUACCGAAUUUUUAUUCCUCUUGGAGAUCGAGGCGAUCAGCGCAAACGAAGACAAGAGACAUAUCCUCGUUGUGCGUCUGCCCGAUCCGUCUUACGUACCGGUUAUAUGUUCGUUGUGGGCGUAUUAUUUGGAACAGCUAUCGCGUUACAAAGUGAUGAAGGCCCGUUGACGCGGUUAUAAUUCGAGUGUACACGAGGAAAAAAUGUACAAGAUUGUGGCAAACAGUUUGUACGGAUAUUUGAAGCGGAUUUUACGAGCGCAGCGUUAUCUACGUGCCGUCCGUUACAGCGGCGGUUACGCUGCUCGCUCGUAAAACGUUUCACGAAACCACAUGGCUUUGCGAAAACUGUUCCGUGUUACCUUGUGUAUCCAUUUGUCGAGUUAUUUAUAAAGAUACGGACUGCGCAAUCUUCGCGUUCGACAAAUCCAUACCCGCAGACCGAAGUAAUGGGUUUUCGGAUUUUGUAAACGUGAUGUUUAGCGACAGUUGCGUGCGAUUGGAAACCGAAAAUGCCGAAUCGUAAUUGUGCAUCAUUAUGGGACGUAAAAAAUAUUGGAAAAUUUUGGAGAGAGGUAACGUUGUCAUCAAAGGUUUUGAAUGCAAUGUUCCGCGAUACGUGAAACAUUUGGUGUCAACGGUACAACGCAGCGUUCAUAAAUUCGUACAAUACGUUGUCGAUUCCUCAAUGUGGACGUAUCGAUUGCACGUAAAUGAAUUGUGUUUGUUUUUCGGUGCGAUAUACACAGAGUUACAUAGAUUUUACAAAAUUAACGAAACAUCGAUGUUCGCGUUCAACGUAGCGUUGAACAUUUGAGUCGACGGAUCGAGCGUGUGCUCCGAUUUCGUGAAUCGUUGCGUCACUUUGUACGGAUACGAAUACGGCGACAAGGUUCGAGCCGUUUAUGCGCUCGCAGAUCCAACGCGGUGCGACGAAAUCGAUAUGCGAAUUGUUAACGAAUUCGAAUCGUCGUCGAUGCGAUUGAACUACUAAAAGUUUAUUAGACGUUUCGUGAUAUAUUUACAAAUGUUGAAAGAAGAAAAACCAACCGACGCACAUAUCGCACUGGAGUACGCUAUGACUCCGAAAAGCUUUGACGAAGAGUUGUUGGAGGCGUACCGUUGCUGGUUGCGUAUGGAACAACGAGACGGUACGACUUUUUUUCGUUUCGGAGCGAAGAGUUCCCCGUUUGAGACGUCUAUUGUCCAAUCGCGCCGUUAAUAUUACAGUAUUCUUUGAUAUUCACACAUACAUAUGUAUCAAUGUCAAAAUUCGUCUUCGUUGCAAGUUUUAUAUAAAUUGUAAAUGCAAUGAUGUGUGUACAGAUAGACGACGUCGUAGCGAGACCAGAUGCGUAUCUCGCUCUUGCGGGCAAAUUGGUCAAUCAGACGU